GAUGAACGCUAGCUACAGGCUUAACACAUGCAAGUCGAGGGGCAGCAUGGUCUUAGCUUGCUAAGGCCGAUGGCGACCGGCGCACGGGUGAGUAACACGUAUCCAACCUGCCGUCUACUCUUGGACAGCCUUCUGAAAGGAAGAUUAAUACAAGAUGGCAUCAUGAGUUCACAUGUUCACAUGAUUAAAGGUAUUCCGGUAGACGAUGGGGAUGCGUUCCAUUAGAUAGUAGGCGGGGUAACGGCCCACCUAGUCUUCGAUGGAUAGGGGUUCUGAGAGGAAGGUCCCCCACAUUGGAACUGAGGCACGGUCCAAACUCCUACGGGAGGCAGCAGUGAGGAAUAUUGGGCAAUGGGCGAGAGCCUGAACCAGCCAAGUAGCGUGAAGGAUGACUGCCCUAUGGGUUGUAAACUUCUUUUAUAAAGGAAUAAAGUCGGGUAUGUAUACCCGUUUGCAUGUACUUUAUGAAUAAGGAGCGGCUAACUCCGUG
rnacentral:rRNA from 1 species